UGGCGGCAGUAGCGCGGUGGUCCCACCUGACCCCAUGCCGAACUCAGAAGUGAAACGCCGUAGCGCCGAUGGUAGUGUGGGGUCUC
rnacentral:rRNA from 1 species